rnacentral:tRNA from 1 species
GUUAUUUUGGCAGAAUAGUGCAAUAGAUUUAGAAUCUUUAUAUGUAAAUAAAAUUACAAUUAACA